rnacentral:rRNA from 1 species
UUCGCCCUUAGAGUUUGAUCCUGGCUCAGGACGAACGCUGGCGGCGCGCCUAACACAUGCAAGUCGAACGGGACUAUGCUGGAAGAAGUUUUCGGAUGGAUUUUGGUAUAGUUUAGUGGCGGACGGGUGAGUAACACGUGAGCAACCUGCCUUCGAGAGGGGAAUAACGGCUGGAAACGGUCGCUAAUACCGCAUAAUAUACAGGAGGGACAUCCCUUUUGUAUCAAAGAUUUAUCGCUCGAAGAUGGGCUCGCGUCCGAUUAGGUAGUUGGUGAGGUAACGGCCCACCAAGCCGACGAUCGGUAGCCGGACUGAGAGGUUGAACGGCCACAUUGGGACUGAGACACGGCCCAGACUCCUAUGGGAGGCAGCAGUGGGGGAUAUUGCACAAUGGGGGAAACCCUGAUGCAGCGACGCCGCGUGUGGGAAGACGGUCCUCUGGAUUGUAAACCACUGUCCCCAGGGACGAAGAUGACGGUACCUGGGGAGGAAGCUCCGGCUAACUACGUGCCAGCAGCCGCGGUAAUACGUAGGGAGCAAGCGUUGUCCGGAAUUACUGGGUGUAAAGGGAGCGUAGGCGGGAUGGCAAGUUGGGUGUUAAAUCUACCGGCUCAACUGGUAGUCGCACUCAAAACUGCUAUUCUUGAGUGAAGUAGAGGCAGGCGGAAUUCCUAGUGUAGCGGUGAAAUGCGUAGAUAUUAGGAGGAACACCAGUGGCGAAGGCGGCCUGCUGGGCUUUUACUGACGCUGAGGCUCGAAAGUGUGGGGAGCAAACAGGAUUAGAUACCCUGGUAGUCCACACCGUAAACGAUGAUUACUAGGUGUGGGGGGUCUGACCCCCUCCGUGCCGGAGCAAACGCAAUAAGUAAUCCACCUGGGGAGUACGGCCGCAAGGUUGAAACUCAAAGGAAUUGACGGGGGCCCGCACAAGCAGUGGAGUAUGUGGUUUAAUUCGAAGCAACGCGAAGAACCUUACCAGGUCUUGACAUCGUGUGCAUAGCCUAGAGAUAGGUGAAGUCCUUCGGGACACACAGACAGGUGGUGCAUGGUUGUCGUCAGCUCGUGUCGUGAGAUGUUGGGUUAAGUCCCGCAACGAGCGCAACCCUUGUAUUUAGUUGCUACGCAAGAGCACUCUAGAUAGACUGCCGUUGACAAAACGGAGGAAGGUGGGGAUGACGUCAAAUCAUCAUGCCCCUUACGACCUGGGCCACACACGUACUACAAUGGCGCACAACAGAGGGAAGCAAGACAGCGAUGUGGAGCAAACCCCUAAAAUGCGUCCCAGUUCAGAUUGCAGGCUGCAACCCGCCUGCAUGAAGUCGGAAUUGCUAGUAAUCGCGGAUCAGCAUGCCGCGGU